AGAUUGAACGCUGGCGGCAGGCCUAACACAUGCAAGUCGAGCGGCAGCACGGGUACUUGUACCUAGGUGGCGAGCGGCGGACGGGUGAGUAAUGCCUAGGAAUCUGCCUGGUAGUGGGGGAUAACGCUCGGAAACGGACGCUAAUACCGCAUACGUCCUACGGGAGAAAGCAGGGGACCUUCGGGCCUUGCGCUAUCAGAUGAGCCUAGGUCGGAUUAGCUAGUUGGUGAGGUAAUGGCUCACCAAGGCACGAUCCGUAACUGGUCUGAGAGAUGAUCAGUCACACGUGGAACUGAGACACGGUCCAGACUCCGUACGGGAGGCAGCAGGUGGGAAUAGUGGAACAAGUGGGACGAAAGCCGUAGAUCCAGCCUAGUCGCCGCGUGUGGUAGAAG
rnacentral:rRNA from 1 species